AUUGAACGCUGGCGGCAGGCUUAACACAUGCAAGUCGAACGAGUGGCGGACGGGUGAGUAAUUGUUGGGAAUCUGGCUUAUGGAGGGGGCUAACUACGGGAAACUGUAGCUAAUACCGCGUACCAUAGGAUGAGCCCUAGGGGGAUUAGGUAGUUGGUGAGGUAAAGGCGCAACAAGCCGACGAUCUCUAGCUGGUCUGAGAGGAUGACCAGCCACACUGGGACUGAGACACGGCCCAGACUCCUACGGGAGGCAGCAGUGGGGAAUAUUGCGCAAUGGGGGCAACCUGACGCAGCCAUGCCGCGUGAAUGAAGAAGGCUUUCGGGUUGUAAAGUUCUUUCGUUAGCGAGGCGUUAACUACAGAAGAAGCACCGGCUAACUCCGUGCCAGCAGCCGCGGUAAUAC
rnacentral:rRNA from 1 species